UAGGGUCGCAUGAUGAUUUUACGCAUAGUUCAAAUGAUCGUGUAUACUACUAUAUGAUUAAACAUUCGAAGGUCUUUUGCUCCUGUUCGGCGACCUCG